UACGAAGGGGGCUAGCGUUGUUCGGAAUUACUGGGCGUAAAGCGUGCGCAGGCGGCCUUCCAAGUCAGGGGUGAAAGCCCAGAGCUCAACUCUGGAAUUGCCUUUGAGACUGUGAGGCUUGAGUACGGGAGAGGUGAGUGGAAUUCCCAGUGUAGAGGUGAAAUUCGUAGAUAUUCGGAAGAACACCAGUGGCGAAGGCGACAUACUGGUCCGUUACUGACGCUGAGGCUCGAAAGCGUGGGGAGCAAACAGG
rnacentral:rRNA from 1 species